GUGGCUUCCUAUUGUAUACAAUGUGGUCAGCACGGAGGUUCUGCUCUGAAGAGUCAUUCAGAGAUCCAGGUUUCUUCCAUGUGUACAUCAUCAUUGUCAAUUUACUGACUCCAGAGUCACUGCAGAAGGAGAGAGAGCGGAGUGGAUUGUACUGGAGGUUUUAUGGAUGGGACUGGAAGUGGUUUAUAUCACUCUACCCGCCUGUUUUUGUUCUCUCCUUGGCCUCAAACUCCAGAUUGACUGUUAUUCUGGAAUAUCCAUUUGUCUUCUUAAUCCCUUCUCUCCCGUUCUCUACUCUGCUCUGUGUCCUGGGAGCCUGGCCUCUACGGAUUGAACCACCUGAGCCUCCUUGCCUUCUGGCUUCCAGUUGGGUUCAGAGAAUGAGAGGUACAAGCAGGAGAGUGUCAACAGGAAGAGAUUGAAUUUGAGGUAGGACACCACCAAAGCAUGGCUUGAUGGGCGGUGUGUAGGUCCACACCCAGGAUCCAAACCCGCGAACCCCUGGCCACUGAAGUGGAGCACACAAACUUAACUACUACACGACUGGGCUGGACCCUUAAGAUGGUAUUUAAGGUGGUGGCUUUGGCCAUUUGGGAACCAAGGCAGAAGACUGCCAGAUGGCCAAACUGCAGAACUGAUCCAAACCAGAAAAGUCCAAGAUGGUGACAGGGUGUCUGGUACAAAAGGAAACGUGUGCAAAAGGUGCCAUGUGCAAGAAGGGAAGAUCUGCACAUGCCCCAAAUGUCCCCGGCCCCCAAGCGGUGAUGGGGAGAUCCCCCCCGCUUCACAUCCCAUAAGAAUGUUGCUCACCUUCCCUUCCAGAAGAAGGUGUUUUAGAGGACCAGCUCUCCCUUUCUCCAUUCCUUGAUCAAGCAAUAAAGUUUCUGCUCUGCUAUUCUGA
rnacentral:lncRNA from 1 species